rnacentral:rRNA from 1 species
ACGCACGCUGGCGGCGUGCUUAACCCCUGCCAGUCGAACGGAAAGGCCUGCUUUCCCUUGUGGAUUGCGGGUGCUCGAGUGGCGAACGGGUGAGUAACACGUGAGUGAUCUGCCCCCAACUUGGGUAUAAGCCUGGGAAACUGGGUCUAAUUCCCGAUAGGACUGCAGGGUGGUGCCUGUGGUGGAAAACGAUUUUCUAGUGGUUGGGGAUGAGCUCGCGGCCUAUCAGCUUGUUGGUGGGGUAAUGGCCUACCAAGGCGGCGACGGGUAGCCGGCCUGAGAGGGUGGACGGCCACAUUGGGACUGAGAUACGGCCCAGACUCCUACGGGAGGCAGCAGUGGGGAAUAUUGCACAAUGGGCGGAAGCCUGAUGCAGCGACGCCGCGUGGGGGAUGACGGCCUUCGGGUUGUAAACUCCUUUCGACCGCGAGGAAGCCACCUGGUUGGAAGGGUGGUGACGGUAGUGGUAGAAGAAGCACCGGCUAACUACGUG